rnacentral:rRNA from 1 species
AUACGUAGGGGGCUAGCGUUAUCCGGAAUUACUGGGCGUAAAGGGUGCGUAGGUGGUUUCUUAAGUCAGAAGUGAAAGGCUACGGCUCAACCGUAGUAAGCUUUUGAAACUAAGAGACUUGAGUGCAGGAGAGGAGAGUAGAAUUCCUAGUGUAGCGGUGAAAUGCGUAGAUAUUAGGAGGAAUACAAGUUGCGAAGGCGGCUCUCUGGACUGUAACUGACACUGAGGCACGAAAGCGUGGGGAGCAAACAGGAUUAGAUACCCUGGUAGUCCACGCCGUAAACGAUGAGUACUAGCUGUCGGGGGUUACCCCCCUCGGUGGCGCAGCUAACGCAUUAAGUACUCCGCCUGGGGAGUACGCACGCAAGUGUGAAACUUAAAUGAAUUGGCGGGG